GACGAACGCUGGCGGCGUGCUUAACACAUGCAAGUCGAACGAAGUGGCGAACGGAUGAGUAAUACGUGGGUAACCUGCCCUCCUUUUUGGGAUAAGCCUUGGAAACGGGGUCUAAUACCGAAUAAAGGGGGAUGGGCUCGCGGCCUAUCAGCUUGGUGGUGGGGUGAUGGCCUACCAAGGCGGUGCCGGGUAGCCGGCCUGGGAGUGUGAGUGGCCAGAGUGGGACUUGGAUACUGUCCAGUGGCCUACGGGAGGCGGCAGUGGGGGAUAUUGCACAAUGGGCGAAAGCCUGAUGCAGCGGCGUCGAGUGGGGGAUGGAGGCUUUCGGGUUGGAAACUUCAUUCGACAUCGGAAGGGUGGGUGGAGAGGAAGCGCCGGCGAACGACGUGCCAGCAGCCGCGGUAAUUC
rnacentral:rRNA from 1 species